UACGGAGGGUGCAAACGUUGCUCGGAAUCAUUGGGCGUAAAGCGCACGUAGGCGGCCUGUUAAGUCGGGUGUGAAAGCCCUGGGCUCAACCCAGGAAGUGCACUCGAAACUGGCAGGCUUGAAUAUGGAAGAGGGUCGCGGAAUUCCCGGUGUAGAGGUGAAAUUCGUAGAUAUCGGGAGGAACACCAGUGGCGAAGGCGGCGACCUGGGCCAAUAUUGACGCUGAUUGUGCGAAAGCUAGGGGAGCGAACGGG
rnacentral:rRNA from 1 species